rnacentral:tRNA from 1 species
GUUUUUAUAGUUAAUUUUAUAAUAUUAGUUUUGUAAACUUAAGUGUGCUUAAAGCAUAAAAACU